rnacentral:rRNA from 1 species
CCUACGGGAGGCAGCAGUGAGGAAUAUUGGUCAAUGGGCUUACGCCUGAACCAGCCAAGCCGCGUGAGGGAAGACUGCCCUAUGGGUUUUAAACCUCUUUUGUCAGGGAGCAACGCCGGCUACGUGUAUCCGGACUGAGAGUCCCUGAUGAAUAAGCAUCGGCAACUCCGUGCCAGCAGCCGCGGUAAUAGGGAGGAUGCGAGCGUUAUCCGGAUUUAUUGGGUUUAACGUGUGCGUAGGCGGAAGGCCAAGUCAGCGGUAAAAUCGCGGGGUUCAACCUCGCUCCGCCGUUGAAACUGGCGUUCUUGAGUGCGCGAGAAGUAUGCGGAAUGCGUGGUGUAGCGGUGAAAUGCAUAGAUAUCACGCAGAACUCCGAUUGCGAAGGCAGCAUACCGGCCCCCAACUGACGCUGAAGCACGAAAGCGUGGGUAUCGAACAGGAUUAGAUACCCCUGUAGUC